rnacentral:rRNA from 1 species
UGGCCGGGGCUCGACAGGCAAGCAUUGGUACUUUGUUUUAUACAGCGUAGUUUUUCUGAGUUUGUUGUCUUAUGGACCCUCGGUGAUUGGCGGUUCAACCCAUUACUUGCGGUGCUGUUGCACCGAGGUGCUGCAUGCACAAUGUUGUCUUCAGCUCGUUUCGUGAGAGUUCGGCUU